CAGCACCUCAAGUGGUCAGGAUGAUUAUUGGGCCUAAAGCAUCCGUAGCCGGCGCUGUAAGUUUUCGGUUAAAUCUGUACGCUCAACGUACAGGCUGCCGGGAAUACUGCAGCGCUAGGGAGUGGGAGAGGUAGACGGUACUCGGUAGGAAGGUGUAAAAUCCUUUGAUCUAUUGAUGACCACCUGUGGCGAAGGCGGUCUACCAGAACACGUCCGACGGUGAGGGAUGAAAGCUGGGGGAGCAAACCGGAUUAGAUACCCGAGUAGUCC
rnacentral:rRNA from 1 species